AUUGAACGCUGGCGGCAUGCUUUACACAUGCAAGUCGAACGGCAGCGCGGGGCAACCUGGCGGCGAGUGGCGAACGGGUGAGUAAUACAUCGGAACGUACCCAGAAGUGGGGGAUAACGUAGCGAAAGUUACGCUAAUACCGCAUACGUUCUACGGAAGAAAGUGGGGGACCUUCGGGCCUCAUGCUUUUGGAGCGGCCGAUGUCUGAUUAGCUAGUUGGUGAGGUAAAGGCUCACCAAGGCGACGAUCAGUAGCUGGUCUGAGAGGACGACCAGCCAAACUGGGACUGAGAAACGGCCCAGACUCCUACGGGAGGCAGCAGUGGGGAAUUUUGGACAAUGGGCGCAAGCCUGAUUCAGCAAUGCCGCGUGAGUGAAGAAGGCCUUCGGGUUGUAAAGCUCUUUUGUCAGGGAAGAAACGGCUGGGGUUAAUACCUUCGGCUAAUGACGGUACCUGAAGAAUAAGCACCGGCUAACUACGUGCCAGCCGCCGCCGUAA
rnacentral:rRNA from 1 species